UACGAAGGGGGCUAGAGUUGCUCGGAAUCACUGGGCGUAAAGGGCGCGUAGGCGGCCAUUCAAGUCAGAGGUGAAAGCCCAAGGCUCAACCUUGGAACUGCCUUUGAUACUGUUUGGCUUGAGACCGGUAGAGGUAAGUGGAACUGCGAGUGUAGAGGUGAAAUUCGUAGAUAUUCGCAAGAACACCAGUGGCGAAGGCGGCUUACUGGACCGGUUCUGACGCUGAGGCGCGAAAGCGUGGGGAGCAAACAGG
rnacentral:rRNA from 1 species